GUUUAGUUCCAUAUAUGUUUUAUAUGUUUUACCCAAAGGAAUAUUUCGAAAUGUUAAAUGAGUAUUAGUUAACAACCAUCUAAUGCCAUGCCAUUCCAGGGGACAUAUGUACUUAGGCCAAGACUCGAUAGACAGCCACGUAGAGGUAGUGUGCUAAAACACUAAAUAGCAAUUCAGCCACUGAUGAGACUGGAAGCGCUAGUAAACAAGCACAUCAGUUGUAGAUCACUGCUCUUCUUCUCUAUACCACUGAACCACUGAAAAAGGCUUCUGCGUAAGCCUAUAGAAGUAGUA